GAUGGGGUUCUCUUAUGGCGUAUAGGGGUGCCAUGUGAUUAAAUCUCAUGAAGAAGAAUACAAAAGAAAGAAUUUAUUUUUCUGUAAAAUCUUAGAUCUUGAAACCCUAGAUUUGUUGGAUGUGAUAUAAAAUUGUAUGAAAAAUAAAAUAUCUAAUCUAUAUGAUUAAAUUUUUUUUAAUCAUGAGAAAAUAAAAUAUUGAAUCAUAAAAAAUUUUAGAUAUGA
rnacentral:lncRNA from 1 species